AUUGAACGCUGGCGGUAGGCCUAACACAUGCAAGUCGAACGGCAGCACAGGAGAGCUUGCUCUCUGGGUGGCGAGUGGCGGACGGGUGAGGAAUACAUCGGAAUCUACCUUUUCGUGGGGGAUAACGUAGGGAAACUUACGCUAAUACCGCAUACGACCUACGGGUGAAAGUGGGGGACCGCAAGGCCUCACGCGAUUAGAUGAGCCGAUGUCCGAUUAGCUAGUUGGCGGGGUAAUGGCCCACCAAGGCGACGAUCGGUAGCUGGUCUGAGAGGAUGAUCAGCCACACGGGAACUGAGACACGGUCCAGACUCCUACGGGAGGCAGCAGUGGGGAAUAUUGGACAAUGGGCGCAAGCCUGAUCCAGCCAUACCGCGUGGGUGAAGAAGGCCUUCGGGUUGUAAAGCCCUUUUGUUGGGAAAGAAAUCCUGUCGAUUAAUACUCGGUGGGGAUGACGGUACCCAAAGAAUAAGCACCGGCUAACUUCGUGCCAGCAGCCGCAGUAAUAC
rnacentral:rRNA from 1 species